GCCGGAUCUUGUACUAUGCCGACAACAGGCUAAUAUAUAAACACUGAGCCACUCAUGCGCUUCAUCAGUUAUAGUCAUCUGUUCAUUGGAUUUACUAGUCGUUCCUUAUUGCUCAAUAUGAAGCUGUUUUUCCUUAUCUUCAGUCUGAUAGCGCUCGUCUUUGGAGUCGCCCAAGGACAAAGAGGCUGCAUCUGCCCGGCUGUCUUCAGUCCAGUUUGCUCAACUACAGGAAAAACCUUCAGUAACAGAUGCCAGUUAAACUGCGCAGGUGCUAAAUUCAGGCGCAAUGGAAAAUGUUAAAAAUAAUAAUUGUAUAGAUUUAUAAGAAUCGUAAUUAAUAAAUGCAUUAGGUUAUAACUAGGGGGACAGUUAAGGGAUCUCCUCAUUGAUUAUGAUUUUUUGGAUAUUCAUAUUACAUGUGGCUAAAAGGGGAGUGAAAUUUUGUAUGUGAGUUAAGGUAGUAAUUUCAAAAUUGGAAUUGUAGGACAUAUGUACUAAUCAUAAGAAAAUAACCUUUCAGCUAAUUGCUUAUUAAUAUUUACCCAUACUCAGUAGAUAUGGUAACAAUUUCAAUAAAAAAAAAAUAUUUUUAAAA